GGUUGGAUAAGGCGUUUAUGCCGCAUCCGACAGCUAUCGCCGGAUGCGAUGCUGGCGCAUCUUAUCCGGCC
rnacentral:ncRNA from 1 species